rnacentral:rRNA from 1 species
CGGAGGGUGCAAGCGUUAUCCGGAUUCACUGGGUUUAAAGGGAGCGUAGGUGGACUUUUAAGUCAGUGGUGAAAUCUCUGGGCUUAACCCGGAAACUGCCAUUGAUACUAUUAGUCUUGAAUUCUCUGGAGGUAAGCGGAAUAUGUCAUGUAGCGGUGAAAUGCUUAGAUAUGACAUAGAACACCCAUUGCGAAGGCAGCUUACUACGGAGACAUUGACACUGAGGCUCGAAAGCGUGGGGAUCAAACAGGAUUAGAUACCCUAGUAGUCCACGCCCUAAACGAUGAUUACUCGACAUUAGCGAUAUUACUGUUAGUGUCUAAGCGAAAGCAUUAAGUAAUCCACCUGGGAAGUACGACCGCAAGGUUG